rnacentral:rRNA from 1 species
GGAAAAGAAACCAACAGGGAUUGCCUCAGUAACGGCGAGUGAAGCGGCAACAGCUCAAAUUUGAAAUCUGGCCCUCGGGUCCGAGUUGUAAUUUGCAGAGGAUGCUUCGGGCGAGGCUUUGAUCGAGUCCCCUGGAAUGGGGCGCCACAGAGGGUGAGAGCCCCGUAUGAUCAGCCGCCGAACCCGUGUGAAGCUCCUUCGACGAGUCGAGUAGUUUGGGAAUGCUGCUCUAAAUGGGAGGUAAAUUUCUUCUAAAGCUAAAUACCGGCCAGAGACCGAUAGCGCACAAGUAGAGUGAUCGAAAGAUGAAAAGCACUUUGAAAAGAGAGUUAAAAAGCACGUGAAAUUGUUGAAAGGGAAGCGCCUAUGACCAGACUCGGGCUCUUGGGAUCAUCCGCCCUUCUGGGCGGUGCACUCCCUCGUUCUCGGGCCAGCAUCGGUUCUCCUCGGGGGAUAAAGGCGCCAGGAACGUGGCUCCCUUCGGGGAGUGUUAUAGCCUGGCGCGUCAUGCUCCGGGGGGGACCGAGGACCGCGCUUCGGCAUGGAUGCUGGCGUAAUGGUCACCGGCGACCCGUCUUGAAACACGGACCAAGGAGUCAAGCAUUAGGGCGAGUGUACGGGUGUAAAACCCGAACGCGCAGUGAAAGCGAACGCUGGUGAGAGCUUCGGCGCAUCACCGACCGAUCCUGAAGUCUUCGGAUGGAUUUGAGUAGGAGCCUUAACGCUUGGACCCGAAAGAUGGUGAACUAUGCCUGAAUAGGGUGAAGCCAGAGGAAACUCUGGUGGAGGCUCGCAGCGGUUCUGACGUGCAAAUCGCUCGUCAAAUUUGGGCAUAGGGGCGAAAGACUAAUCGAACC